AGCUCCGUUGGCCUAGUGGUUAGAGCGUCCGUCUCAGAUGCGGUAGGUCUUUGGUUCGAUCCUUGAUCGAGUCA